UGAGCAAUCUGCCCUUCUCAUCGGAAUAAGCGUGGAAACCGCGUCUAAUGCCGAAUACGACCUCCUUUCGCAUGAUCGGAGGUGGAAAGCUCCGGCGGAGAAGGAUGAGCUCGCGGCCUAUCAGCUAGUUGGUGUGGGUAAUGGCCCACCAAGGCGACGACGGGUAGCCGGCUGAGAGGUGACGUCGCANGUCGAGNGACACGCCGU
rnacentral:rRNA from 1 species